rnacentral:piRNA from 1 species
UAGGCAAACAUUUCUAGUGGUAAUAUUGG